rnacentral:RNase_P_RNA from 1 species
GGAGGAGGCUGGGUGAUCGCGGGCCUGGCAUCCGUGAAAACGGGUACGACAAGGCCUGAGGAAAGUCCGAACACCAUAGGGCUGGACGCUGGGUAACGCCCAGUGGGGGCGACCCCGAGGAUAGUGCCACAGAAAUGUAAACCGCCGCUUUGGUCGCUUUCCGGUCUUUCGGGACGGGAAGGUGAUUGAUGGUGCAAGGGUGCAACGGUGAGGUAAGAGCUCACCAGCGGCAGGGUGACCUGCCGGCUAGGUAAACCCCGUCCGGUGCAAGGCCAAAUAGGAGGGAAGCAGGGCAAUCGUCUGUGCGAACAGGCGGGAGUUCUGCACCGGCGGCCCGUCGGUCCCUCGGGUUGGCCGCUGGAGGUGUCUGGCAACAGACACCCAAGACAGAUGGUCACCGCUUUCAGGCAACUGAAAGAACAGAAUUCGGCUUACAGGUCGCCUCUUCUG